UAUGAAUCGUCGAGCGGGCAAAUAAAAUAACACAUGGCCUACAAGCCAGUAUCCCGCCAACCGCCAAGCGCGCAAAUAAACAACGCGCUUAUACAAUUCAAAAAUAGAACAUUAUUUUUUUCGUAACAUUGGAUUACUGGAUUUUUAUAAUUCAUUGUUUUGUUUGUGUUCCAGUUGUGUUUGUGCAUAGUACUUAAUUUUAUUUCUUGACAUAUUUUGAACUUUAAUUGGAUGUAGCGAUAUAGACAGACAGACGAACACACAGCCAAAAUGGACAAGCCCACGAUGCACAUGCUCUCCGUCCAGGAGAAGGGCGGGGAGACAAGGAGGGCCACACAGUAUUUAGCUGCAGUCGCUGCAACAAUUGGCGCAGUCAUAGCGGGUACAAUUCUAGCGUGGACAUCUCCGGCCCUACCGCAGUUGGAGCCCCCAAAGAACCAGUCA
rnacentral:lncRNA from 1 species